rnacentral:rRNA from 1 species
GGGUGAGUAAUGCGUCGGAACGUACCGAGUAAUGGGGGAUAGCGCACCGAAAGGUGUGCUAAUACCGCAUACGCCCCGAGGGGGAAAGCAGGGGAUUGCAAGGCCUUGCGUUAUUCGAGCGGCCGACGUCUGAUUAGCUAGUUGGUGAGGUAAUGGCUCACCAAGGCGACGAUCAGUAGCGGGUCUGAGAGGAUGAUCCGCCACACUGGAACUGAGACACGGUCCAGACUCCUACGGGAGGCAGCAGUGGGGAAUUUUGGACAAUGGGGGAAACCCUGAUCCAGCCAUUCCGCGUGAGUGAAGAAGGCCUUCGGGUUGUAAAGCUCUUUCAGCUGGAACGAAACGGUACGCUCUAACAUAGCGUGCUAAUGACGGUACCAGCAGAAGAAGCACCGGCUAACUACGUGCCAGCAGCCGCGGUAAUACGUAGGGUGCGAGCGUUAAUCGGAAUUACUGGGCGUAAAGCGUGCGCAGGCGGAUUGUUAAGCAAGAUGUGAAAUCCCCGGGCUUAACCUGGGAAUGGCAUUUUGAACUGGCAGUCUAGAGUGUGUCAGAGGGGGGUGGAAUUCCACGUGUAGCAGUGAAAUGCGUAGAUAUGUGGAGGAACACCAAUGGCGAAGGCAGCCCCCUGGGAUAACACUGACGCUCAUGUACGAAAGCGUGGGUAGCAAACAGGAUUAGAUACCCUGGUAGUCCACGCCCUAAACGAUGUCAACUGGUUGUUGGGGGAGUGAAAUCCCUUAGUAACGAAGCUAACGCGUGAAGUUGACCGCCUGGGGAGUACGGUCGCAAGAUUAAAACUCAAAGGAAUUGACGGGGACCCGCACAAGCGGUGGAUGAUGUGGAUUAAUUCGAUGCAACGCGAAAAACCUUACCUACCCUUGACAUGUCCAGAAUCCUGCAGAGAUGCGGGAGUGCCCGAAAGGGAAUUGGAACACAGGUGCUGCAUGGCUGUCGUCAGCUCGUGUCGUGAGAUGUUGGGUUAAGUCCCGCAACGAGCGCAACCCUUAUCAUUAGUUGCUACGCAAGGGCACUCUAAUGAGACUGCCGGUGACAAACCGGAGGAAGGUGGGGAUGACGUCAAGUCCUCAUGGCCCUUAUGGGUAGGGCUUCACACGUCAUACAAUGGUCGGUACAGAGGGUUGCCAAGCCGCGAGGUGGAGCCAAUCCCAGAAAGCCGAUCGUAGUCCGGAUUGUUCUCUGCAACUCGAGAGCAUGAAGUCGGAAUCGCUAGUAAUCGCGGAUCAGAAUGUCGCGGUGAAUACGUUCCCGGGUCUUGUACACACCGCCCGUCACACCAUGGGAGUGGAAUCUGCCAGAAGUAGGUAGCCUAACCGCAAGGAGGGCGCUUACCACGGUGGGUUUCAUGACUGGGGUGAAGUCU